AGAGUUUGAUCAUGGCUCAGAUUGAACGCUGGCGGCAGGCCUAACACAUGCAAGUCGAACGGUAACAGGAAGCAGCUUGCUGCUUCGCUGACGAGUGGCGGACGGGUGAGUAAUGUCUGGGAAACUGCCUGAUGGAGGGGGAUAACUACUGGAAACGGUGGCUAAUACCGCAUAACGUCGCAAGACCAAAGAGGGGGACCUUCGGGCCUCUUGCCAUCAGAUGUGCCCAGAUGGGAUUAGCUUGUUGGUGAGGUAACGGCUCACCAAGGCGACGAUCCCUAGCUGGUCUGAGAGGAUGACCAGCCACACUGGAACUGAGACACGGUCCAGACUCCUACGGGAGGCAGCAGUGGGGAAUAUUGCACAAUGGGCGCAAGCCUGAUGCAGCCAUGCCGCGUGUAUGAAGAAGGCCUUCGGGUUGUAAAGUACUUUCAGCGGGGAGGAAGGUGUUGUGGUUAAUAACCACAGCAAUUGACGUUACUCGCAGAAGAAGCACCGGCUAACUCCGUGCCAGCAGCCGCGGUAAUACGGAGGGUGCAAGCGUUAAUCGGAAUUACUGGGCGUAAAGCGCACGCAGGCGGUCUGUCAAGUCGGAUGUGAAAUCCCCGGGCUCAACCUGGGAACUGCAUUCGAAACUGGCAGGCUUGAGUCUUGUAGAGGGGGGUAGAAUUCCAGGUGUAGCGGUGAAAUGCGUAGAGAUCUGGAGGAAUACCGGUGGCGAAGGCGGCCCCCUGGACAAAGACUGACGCUCAGGUGCGAAAGCGUGGGGAGCAAACAGGAUUAGAUACCCUGGUAGUCCACGCCGUAAACGAUGUCUACUUGGAGGUUGUGCCCUUGAGGCGUGGCUUCCGGAGCUAACGCGUUAAGUAGACCGCCUGGGGAGUACGGCCGCAAGGUUAAAACUCAAAUGAAUUGACGGGGGCCCGCACAAGCGGUGGAGCAUGUGGUUUAAUUCGAUGCAACGCGAAGAACCUUACCUGGUCUUGACAUCCACAGAACUUUCCAGAGAUGGACUGGUGCCUUCGGGAACUGUGAGACAGGUGCUGCAUGGCUGUCGUCAGCUCGUGUUGUGAAAUGUUGGGUUAAGUCCCGCAACGAGCGCAACCCUUAUCCUUUGUUGCCAGCGGUUAGGCCGGGAACUCAAAGGAGACUGCCAGUGAUAAACUGGAGGAAGGUGGGGAUGACGUCAAGUCAUCAUGGCCCUUACGACCAGGGCUACACACGUGCUACAAUGGCGCAUACAAAGAGAAGCGACCUCGCGAGAGCAAGCGGACCUCAUAAAGUGCGUCGUAGUCCGGAUUGGAGUCUGCAACUCGACUCCAUGAAGUCGGAAUCGCUAGUAAUCGUGGAUCAGAAUGCCACGGUGAAUACGUUCCCGGGCCUUGUACACACCGCCCGUCACACCAUGGGAGUGGGUUGCAAAAGAAGUAGGUAGCUUAACCUUCGGGAGGGCGCUUACCACUUUGUGAUUCAUGACUGGGGUGAAGUCGUAACAAGGUAACCGUAGGGGAACCUGCGGUUGGAUCACCU
rnacentral:rRNA from 1 species